AUUUAUAUAGUUUAAAUAAAACCUUACAUUUUCACUGUAAAAAUAAAAAUUUUUUUUUAUAAAUA
rnacentral:tRNA from 1 species